GUUCACUCCCAGCCAUGUCAUCAUGGGUCUCCCUUCCAAGGGAACUAGUGCACUUUGCAGCCCUGGCACCAUCUUCUUCGCUGGAGUCCGGUGGGGAUGUGCUGUUUACACACGGGCCAGUUUACUGAGAUUUUAAAAGCUCUCAAUGUCCAGAUACACUUUUAAAAAGCAAAGGAUGAAAGAAGGAAGAAAGAAGGAAGGAAAGGAAGACCUUCCCACUAAACUAAUCUUUGGGAUCAUAAGUUCUGAUCUCUACUCUAAGGAAAUAAUGAAAGAAGUAUUCAGAUGAUAUAUGAGAUGCAAAGACUAAGGCUACUGGAACUUUUCUCUUGAACUUCAUUGCUUCAAUGGACGCGAUACACUGUUCAGCGAGGCAUGUGGGAUCUUAGCUCUCCCACCAGGGAUUGAACCCGCACCCCCUGCAUUGGAAGGUGAAGACUUAACCAGUGGACCGCCAGGGAAGUCCCAAAUUACUUGAUUUUAGAUUCUUUCUCAUUAUAGGUUAUUACAAGAUAUUGAUUAUAGUUCCCUGUGCCAUACAGGAUGUCGCUAGACGUUUCUCCCUACCUGAGAGAAUAAGAAAUUUAGGAAAUUCUGCCUUCUACAUCUUGCUUUGGAGGGACAGAAGAAAAUUCUGAGAAACCUGCAGUGCACCGUGGAGAGCUGCACCCCUUAACACACCUCAGAACACGCUUUGGGAAGGACAGGAUUAAGGCAAGGCAAGGCUGCUAUUUAACUCCCCAUGGCAGGUGACAGAGAGGAAUGGUCAAACGUCCA